AUCUGAACCUUCGGGGAACGAUAACGGCGUCGAGCGGCGGACGGGUGAGUAAUGCCUAGGAAAUUGCCCUGAUGUGGGGGAUAACCAUUGGAAACGAUGGCUAAUACCGCAUGAUGCCUACGGGCCAAAGAGGGGGACCUUCGGGCCUCUCGCGUCAGGAUAUGCCUAGGUGGGAUUAGCUAGUUGGUGAGGUAAGGGCUCACCAAGGCGACGAUCCCUAGCUGGUCUGAGAGGAUGAUCAGCCACACUGGAACUGAGACACGGUCCAGACUCCUACGGGAGGCAGCAGUGGGGAAUAUUGCACAAUGGGCGCAAGCCUGAUGCAGCCAUGCCGCGUGUAUGAAGAAGGCCUUCGGGUUGUAAAGUACUUUCAGUCGUGAGGAAGGUUCAUGCGUUAAUAGCGUAUGGAUUUGACGUUAGCGACAGAAGAAGCACCGGCUAACUCCGUGCCAGCAGCCGCGGUAAUACGGAGGGUGCGAGCGUUAAUCGGAAUUACUGGGCGUAAAGCGCAUGCAGGUGGUUUGUUAAGUCAGAUGUGAAAGCCCGGGGCUCAACCUCGGAAUAGCAUUUGAAACUGGCAGACUAGAGUACUGUAGAGGGGGGUAGAAUUUCAGGUGUAGCGGUGAAAUGCGUAGAGAUCUGAAGGAAUACCGGUGGCG
rnacentral:rRNA from 1 species